rnacentral:rRNA from 1 species
GGAUCCAGACUUUGAUCAUGGCUCAGAUUGAACGCUGGCGGCGUGCCUAACACAUGCAAGUCGAACGCGAAAGUUUCUUCGGAAAUGAGUAGAGUGGCGCACGGGUGAGUAACGCGUGGAUUGUCUACCUACUGGUACGGGACAACAGUUGGAAACGACUGCUAAUACCGUAUACGCUGGUAACGGGAAAGGGGGCCUCUUCUUGAAAGCUCUCGCCAGCAGAUGAGUCCGCGUUUCAUUAGCUAGACGGUGGGGUAACGGCCUACCGUGGCAACGAUGAAUAGCAGGCCUGAGAGGGUGGCCUGCCACACUGGGACUGGAACACGGCCCAGACUCCUACGGGAGGCAGCAGUGGGGAAUAUUGCGCAAUGGACGAAAGUCUGACGCAGCGACGCCGCGUGGAGGAUGAAGGUUUUCGGAUCGUAAACUCCUGUCAAGAGGGAAGAAACCUAUUAUGAAUAAUACUCAUAGUAAUUGACGGUACCUCUAGAGGAAGCACCGGCUAAUUCAGUGCCAGCAGCCGCGGUAAU